GCAGAGCCCUGCCCAUUCCCCCCACCCCAACUCCCGGGUCUGUGCCCUCCCUCCACGCAAGGCAAACACAGCCCCCUCUCCGAGCCGCCUGCAUGGGCUUUGGCUAGUCCUGUUUUUGAGUGGAUUACACUGGGCUCCAAAAUUGUUUGGUGUCUUUCUUUUAUGCCUUCGUGUUUUUUAUAGUCAUUUUGAAAUCCUUGGAUGCAUUACAAGAAGACACUAGAAAAGUUACCUAAAGGAAUCUCCAGGACCAUUCCUGCUAACGCUUAGAGCUAUGAGAACCAAUCACUACUUCCUGGAUGCAUUUGGGAGGUGGAUUAGUUUGGGCUGAAACUACACGCGGGUGUUUGACUGAUGGCGGCUUCCCCUCCCACCACCCUACCUUCAUCAAACAGACACGAAAACCAAAAACGUCUCCAGAUAUUGCCAAGUGCCCCCUGGGAGCCGAAAUUGCCCCUGGUUGAGAACCACUGCUCUAGAGAAAAAAGCAGAAGUGACAGUGCAUGACUUCAGAGACUCUCUCUUUUCAACCUCUCACUCUGGGGGAGGCCAGCCACCGGGUUGCCAUGUGGAAAGACCCAUGUGGUGAGGAAGUGAGGCCCUCAGCCAACAGCCAUGUGAGUGAGCUUGGAAGAGGGUCUCCCAGCCCCAGUCAAGCUCUCAGAUCACUGCAUCCCCAGCUGACUUCUUGACUGCAACCUCACGAAGACUUCAAGCCAGAACCACCCAGCUAAGCUGCGCCUGCAGACCUGACCUACAGGAACUGUGAGAUACAAACCUUUGUCAUUUGGCACCACGAAGUGUGGGGUAAUUGGUUGUGCAGCAAGAGAUAACUGAUACAUGUGUUCAUUUCUAUGAUUAUGGUAUGACUCUCCAUUUUAGUAAUCUUCAAUGACAUUCAACAAAUCUUUGUAAUUAUUUCCAGAAAACUCAGUGGAAAUUAUUCCUCAAUACUUUAAGUUUUCAAUGCUGUUGUACUAUUUUCCUUUCUUUCCUUUUCUGUUUGUGACUAGCGAAAUGAGACAGUUGAUUUUGUGUGUUUAUUUCUUUUAAUUUUUUUUAAGUGAUCUGUACAACUCAACGGGGGUCUCAAACUCACAGCCCCAAGAUCGAGAGGCACAUGCUCCAUCAAGUGAGCCAGCUGGAUGCCUCUGUGUGUUUAUUUUAUAUUCAGCAAUUCCAAACAUUUAUCCAUAAUGAUCUGGAGUUUUCUACAUAGAUAACCAUAUUAUAUGUGAAUAAUAAGAGUUCUCUUUUCUUCCCUUUCAAUUCCUAUGAUAAUUUUGCUGGCUAGUAUCUCUAGUACACAAUGAAUAGAACUACUGACAGCAAGAAACUCUCUCUUUUUUAAAAAAAAAAAUAUUUUAUUUAUUUAUUUGACAGAGGGAGAGAGAGAGCACAAGUAGGCAGACAGGCAGGCAGUGGGAGAGGGAGA